GUGAACAGCAUGUAUGCUUGGUUAGCUCAGCUGGUCAGAGCGUGGUGCUAAUAACACCAAGGUCAUGGGUUCAAUCCUCAUACUGGCCA
rnacentral:tRNA from 1 species